rnacentral:rRNA from 1 species
AUCGUGGUGGGAGACAGUGUCAGAUGGGCAGUUUGACUGGGGCGGUCGCCUCCUAAAAGGUAACGGAGGCGCCCAAAGGUUCCCUCAGCAUGGUUGGAAAUCAUUCGAAGAGUGUAAAGGCAGAAGGGAGCUUGACUGCGAGACCAACAAGUCGAGCAGGGACGAAAGUCGGGCUUAGUGAUCCGGUGGUUCCGCAUGGAAGGGCCAUCGCUCAAC